rnacentral:rRNA from 1 species
UACGAAGGGGGCUAGCGUUGCUCGGAAUCACUGGGCGUAAAGGGUGCGUAGGCGGGGCCUUAAGUCAGGGGUGAAAUCCUGGAGCUCAACUCCAGAACUGCCUUUGAUACUGAGGAUCUUGAGUUCGGGAGAGGUGAGUGGAACUGCGAGUGUAGAGGUGAAAUUCGUAGAUAUUCGCAAGAACACCAGUGGCGAAGGCGGCUCACUGGCCCGAUACUGACGCUGAGGCACGAAAGCGUGGGGAGCAAACAGG